GUGGGGAAUAUUGCGCAAUGGGGGAAACCCUGACGCAGCAACGCCGCGUGAUUGAAGAAGGCCUUCGGGUUGUAAAGAUCUUUAAUUCGGGACGAAUUUUGACGGUACCGAAAGAAUAAGCUCCGGCUAACUACGUGCCAGCAGCCGCGGUAAUACGUAGGGAGCAAGCGUUAUCCGGAUUUACUGGGUGUAAAGGGCGCGCAGGCGGGCCGGCAAGUUGGAAGUGAAAUCCGGGGGCUUAACCCCCGAACUGCUUUCAAAACUGCUGGUCUUGAGUGAUGGAGAGGCAGGCGGAAUUCCGUGUGUAGCGGUGAAAUGCGUAGAUAUACGGAGGAACACCAGUGGCGAAGGCGGCCUGCUGGACAUUAACUGACGCUGAGGCGCGAAAGCGUGGGGAGCAAACAGGAUUAGAAACCCCAGUAGUCC
rnacentral:rRNA from 1 species